GUUUUUUAAUCUGCAGCACUUUUUGUAAAAUACAACUAACAAUCAAGAGGAGGACAGAAAAAAUGAAUGAAGGUUUAAGAGUCUAACCUGUUUUUCCGCUUUGGUUCACGUUUUAUCGAGCUCUUGGAUCCUGGCUGCAGUUAACAAACAGAAAUCAAAAGGUCUGACGGCUCCUGGAAAAACUGCAGAUGAAGAUGAUCUCCAGGAUCCUGCUGCUCCUCAUCCUCAGCUCAUGUCUCUGUGCAGCAACAUUUGUAGUGAAUGUGACACAGAGCAGCUAUCAGGCAGAGGAGAACCACAGCAUCACUCUGGAGUGGACCUUCACCACCAGACCCAACUCCUCUCUGUCCUCCAUGUUUAUCCUCUGUGAAUUUCUAGCUCCCCCUAGUGGAGUGGUUCUCUAUCAGGUCCAUGAAGGCGAUGAGAUUCCAGAUUCUCAGGAUGAACAGUUUUCAGGACGAGUCCAGAGUGACAAAGACGUCCUCAGAGAAGGACGAAUCAGACUCCAUGUGUCCAGACUGAGGACUGAAGACUCUGGUCUGUAUCUGUGUGACGUGAAAACUGAAGAUGGUUUCAACUCUGGAAGAUGUCGACUCAGCGUUACUGCUGCUGAUCAGAUCCAAACUCAGAGAAAAACUUUGACUCCAGAACCAAAGAUAGGAGGAUGGAGUAUCCUCUUCAUCACUCUGGGACUGAUAGCAGCUCUACUGGUUCUAUUAAUAAUAAUAAUAAUAAUAAUAAUAAUAAUGUUGAUUAUUUGUUUUAGGAUGAAAAGAAAGAAUCAUUUUGAAUCAAGUGUAGAUGAACUAUAUAACCAACACAUAUAACGGGUUUGUUCGCUAUAGUUUAGUUUAAAACUAAUUUUGCCUCAACAGAAAAAUAUCAGAUUUGUUUCCAUCUAUUCUGAUUAACAUGUUAGAUCAUCAUGAAUGAAUGUUUUGUUAUACUAACAACAUUGAGUCAUUUAUUGUUGUUGAUUUAGAAAUUUUAAAUAAUUUUUAAAGGUUUCUGGACUCAGUCAGAAGUAUUGAUCAAUUAUUGUGUCUGAUAACUGAUCAAUGAUUCAGUUAUCAGACUGAAUCAUUGAUCAGACAUUGGUUUAUUGACCAUCAGUCAUUUUGUGGUUGUUCACACCAUCACUGUGACCAAAGUGAUGAAUUUGUUACAUUUACAUUCAUGUUUUUUAAAUAAUGUUUUAUUGUUGAGUUAUGAAGAUUUAAAAUCUGUUAUUUUCACAGAAAUAUUUUUAACAAACACUUUUAUAAAUAUGUUGUGAAACAAAACAUCUAAAGAUUUUGACGAUUUUGUUAUAAAAAUAUAUUUUUUCCUAUUUUUAGGUUAAAUCAAAGGAUUAACUUUAAAGUGAUGAUUUUUAUACAUUACAUUUAUUUUAGAAAUCAACACAACAUUAUGACAUAAAAGUGUUUAUACUUUUCUUUAACAUAAAUCUUUACUCAGUGUUAGUUUAUUGUUUCUUUAUUGAAAUGUUAUAAAUAUGAAUGUUGCCAUUUCAUUACAACAUUGUUACAUUUUCAAUGGGUUCAAAGUUUUUUCUUUUAACUUAAUGUUUCAACUCAAAGUGUCUCAUAAUAUCAUAUUUUGAUCAAAUGUAUUUUUGUGAAUCUGUGAAUGUUUCUGGUUUUAUAUCAUGUAAUAUGUGUGAUUGUGUUGCUGUGAACUGCUGAACCGAGUUUAUCUUUUGGGAAAAUUAAGUAUUGUGAAGUGCAGAAGCUGAAGUUUAAUAAAUAUAAUUAAUGUGAUUUAAAGAAGAUUAAUUUAGUGCAAUAAAAUAAGAGCCUGUCUGUGUCAUUGUUCUGCUGCAGGAAGAUAAAAUGUACGACAUUCACUGUGUUGUGAUAGAA